rnacentral:rRNA from 1 species
UGGGGAAUAUUGCACAAUGGGCGCAAGCCUGAUGCAGCCAUGCCGCGUGUGUGAAGAAGGCCUUCGGGUUGUAAAGCACUUUCAGCGAGGAGGAAGGUGGUGAGCUUAAUACGCUCAUCAAUUGACGUUACUCGCAGAAGAAGCACCGGCUAACUCCGUGCCAGCAGCCGCGGUAAUACGGAGGGUGCAAGCGUUAAUCGGAAUUACUGGGCGUAAAGCGCACGCAGGCGGUUUGUUAAGUCAGAUGUGAAAUCCCCGGGCUCAACCUGGGAACUGCAUUUGAAACUGGCAAGCUAGAGUCUCGUAGAGGGGGGUAGAAUUCCAGGUGUAGCGGUGAAAUGCGUAGAGAUCUGGAGGAAUACCGGUGGCGAAGGCGGCCCCCCUGGACGAAGACUGACGCUCAGGUGCGAAAGCGUGGGGCAGCAAACAGGAUUAGAUACCCUGGUAGUCCAGCGCUGUAAACGAUGUCGAUUUGGAGGUUGUGCCCUUGAGGCGUGGCUUCCGGAGCUAACGCGUUAAAUCGACCGCCUGGGGNGUACGGCCGCAAGGUUAAAACUUAAAGGAAUUGACGGGGUC